rnacentral:sRNA from 1 species
CAGGGGCAAAAGGAUGCAGGGAGGCUGCUGAUUUCCACUGAAGAGCUAAUUUCCUGUGAGACAUUAACAGUGAUUUAAGAAAAAGAUUCCUGUAACUGUAAUGUCUUACAAUAACAGAAUGCAGGAGAGCACAUAUCAAUGAAGAAAAGACAAAAUGUACUUAUCCAUGAAGCUGAGGUUAAGAAACCAGUGUCUUCAAGAGCCAGGGACAGCACUGGGUCUGUGCAGAGUUGAGAGAUGGUGAUGACAUGGUGAGACACAAAUUCAGUCUAUUUCAUAGUUUGUCUGUGGUCAUUCCUAUUAAUAAACUUCCUUUCACAACUGUUUCAAUAUUCACACAAAAAUGUUAACCCAAUCUGCAGUUAUACCCCUUGAAUGUAAAAUAAAAAACAAAAGCCCACAAAAAUAGGAAUCCACACUUAAAAGGUGGAUUUAUUUAGCACAGUACAGUUUCUUAGACUUCUCUAUCACUGUCUCUAACAAUGACAUACUCACCUAACCCCACCAACAGCAACUUUAUUUCGUCUCUAGUUUUCGUCUAAAGAUUCAUGUGGAUUUUAGAUUCUACUCUUUUGUAGGUUCGUAUUUGUACUAUUAUAAAAUGUGACUCUCUCUCCAAACUUUGCCUAAAUUAUGGAAUG